AUUGAAACACUAGUUCUCAUAUGAUCACUGAAGUUAAGCAACAUCAAGCCUGAAUAGUUCUGAGAUGGGUGACCACUUAGGAAUACCAGAUGCUGCAAG